rnacentral:lncRNA from 1 species
GUUCGUUCUAUAGAUUUGGUGUGAAAUUUGAGUUAACUAUAAAGAAAAUGUUACAAAGAGUUGAAAGAAAUGAACUUCAUUUUGUCUGGAUUUCGAUAGAAUCAGAGACGAUAUUGCCAGUGAAAACAAACUGUCGUUGCCGAAUACAACAUAUAAAUUAUGUUGUCAUGAAACAAUCUUUGCGUGGUAUUUUUGUAAACAUAAUUUUAAGUGAAAAAGUGGAUGUUACAUAUUUGUUUCAGAUAAGGGUGAAGGUUUGGUACCAUUAAAACGUUCAAACCCGCUGCAAUUGUUUGCACCUGUCCUAAGUCAGGAAUCUGAUCUUCAGUAGUUGUCGUUUGUUGAUGUGGUUCAUAAGUGUUUCUAGUUUCUCAUUUUUUUAAAUAGAUUAUACCGCUGGUUUUCCCGUUUGAAUGGUUUUACAGUUAGUAAUAUUUUGAGGCCCGUUAUGGCUUGCUGUUCAGUGUAAGCCAAGGCAGGCCGUUCUUUGACCUAUAAUGGUUUACUUUCAUAAUUUGUGACUUGGAUGGAGAGUUUUCUCAUUGGCACUCGUACCUCAUCUUCUUAUAACUAAAUAAAUGCUAUUUUCAUUUGUAACGUGACAUGCUAAAACAUAUCCAACAUA